AACGAACGCUGGCGGCAGGCUUAACACAUGCAAGUCGAACGGUUGUAGCAAUACAGCAGUGGCAGACGGGUGAGUAACACGUGGGAACCUUCCUAGGGGUACGGGACAACUCAGGGAAACUUGAGCUAAUACCGUAUACGUCCGUGAGGAGAAAGAUUUAUCGCCCUUAGACGGGCCCGCGUCGGAUUAGCUAGUUGGUGGGGUAACGGCCUACCAAGGCGACGAUCCGUAGCUGAUCUUAGAGGAUGAUCAGCCACACUGGGACUGAGACACGGCCCAGACUCCUACGGGAGGCAGCAGUGGGGAAUCUUGGACAAUGAGCGCAAGCCUGAUCCAGCCAUGCCGCGUGAGUGAAGAAGGUCUUCGGAUUGUAAAGCUCUUUUGCCAGGGACGAUAAUGACGGUACCUGGAGAAUAAGCCCCGGCAAACUUCGUGCCAGCCGCCGCAGUAA
rnacentral:rRNA from 1 species